UGAGGGCCACCUGUGCCUGUGUUACAUUCUGUACUGUGAGUGGCUGCUUGGCUCUUCAAAAGGGCUGUUAAAUGCAGUUAGGGAAUUUGGAUCCCUUAUUCAGAAUGUGGAAAAGAAGCUCCACCCAUCUGUGCUUGUAGUCUACUUCCUUUCAUUUGUUUACGAGACAAAAUGGAGUUGAUCUGGAAGCAGUUUUGGAGGAGGAAAAUCAUAUGUCUUUCCAGACCAUCAAAUAUUGUUGAAUUUAUUAUUGCUUGAAGACAGAGUCAUGAUCUGGCCAGAGGGAAGUUUUGAACUGUAAUGUAAAAUGAAAUCCCUUUGGCCUGAGAUUGCACUGCACCAGGAUGUUCCAUCCAGCCUGGGCAGGACAGAGUCACACUGCAGGAUGAGUCUGGUGGAGCCGAUCAGGAUAUUGCCUGUUUCCACAGCCCUGGAUGGCCACAAGACACCCUUUGUAUACCAUUACUCUCUCUACUUCAGACUUUGCCACUGCAAGUUUUAUUUUGCAGCUGCGAGAAGAACAAAAUAAAUCUUCAUUCUGGGGAUGGCAAAAUUCCCUGUAGCCUGCACGCUGAAAAGCCUUGGGCUCGCUCUGCUGCCACAUCUUGUUCUACUUAAACUACUGCUUUUAA